ACAGAUAAAGAAUUUAAAGCAUCACUUCUAUUAGUCCACAUAGGCAGAUAAAUUUGCAGAUCGUCUGCAUAACAAUGAAAGGACAGGUUGUGCUCAGCUAU